rnacentral:rRNA from 1 species
UACGUAGGGUGCGAGCGUUAAUCGGAUUUACUGGGCGUAAAGCGUGCGCAGGCGGUCCGCUAAGACAGGUGUGAAAUCCCUGGGCUCAACCUAGGAAUUGCGCUUGUGACUGGCGGGCUAGAGUACGGUAGAGGGGGGUGGAAGUCCUGGUGUAGCAGUGAAAUGCGUAGAGAUCAGGAGGAACCCCGAUGGCGAAGGCAGACCCCUGGGCCUGUACUGACGCUCAGGCACGAAAGCGUGGGGAGCAAACAGG